AACUUUCAACAACGGAUCUCUUGGUUCUGGCAUCGAUGAAGAACGCAGCAAAAUGCGAUAAGUAAUGUGAAUUGCAGAAUUCAGUGAAUCAUCGAAUCUUUGAACGCACAUUGCGCCCGCCAGUAUUCUGGCGGGCAUGCCUGUUCGAGCGUCAUUUC
rnacentral:rRNA from 12 species